AGGGCCUCCCGGACCCAGACGGGCUGCAUCCUACGUAACCUACGUUCUGGGCUCAAGUGCCCCACCCGAGGCACCUAAAGAUACGGAAUAGAGGGCUGUGCAAUGACGCGAUCAAUAACGCUUCUGGAAUCUUCUUGCUUUGGAAGUUCUUAAACGGGAACAAGUUCCUGCCUUUCGGGGUCUGGGCUGUGGUCCUGCCCUGAAGGGAGAAUGAGGAACCAGCUACUUUACCUCGAAAGACCCCCUCCUUCAGACGUUUCUGCAAAACGUAAAACGUUCGUUUCGUCCUGCCAGACGGAGCUGCUAAAUACCCGAGGUCUAAAUUCUGUACGCAGUUUUUAAAAAUCUGGUGAUUUGAAAUGUACUGACUUGCGUUUCAACCCUGGGAGUAAACGUCCUUUUCGGUGCCCUGCCGGACCUUCGCUUCACCAACUGUGCAGACUCGGCGAGAGGAGGACCUGGUCUGGAGACACAGGCACCCGCAGGGUGGCCUACAGGUCGGCCGCUGGCCCCCUGCGCUUCUGUCCUGCCCCAACCUCAACAAUUAUGACGUUUGAAAAAUUUCCGCUAUUCAAAUAACAAUAAUAAGCAUUCAUGAAAAACCCGAAGUACUUUACGUCACCACCUGGAAGCCAGCUAAAGUGCCCACUGCGAAAACAAGGAAGAAAAUACGAAAAUAUGCCCCAAAGAGAAAGAAUUAAAACUCGACUCUUCUCUGGGAGAAAAUGAAAUCGAGAAGCUCAAGACCAGGACCUCUGAGAAAUGAGUAUAUUUGGGAGAAGGUUCGAUUUUCCAGCCACUGGUGCCUCAGCUUUGGGCUUUCCAUUUGCUGGGCUUCUCUAACACCUCCGGCACCCAGCAGCGUGUUCACGGGGUCACCUGCUUCUGGUAAACUGCGCACGUGGGAUAUUUGGGCGGCUGCGGUCAAGACACUACCUCUCUGCACUUGAACUUCCCUUUUGUCACACUUCCCUGAUGUCAGGUAGCACUGGCGAGUCCAGGGGAGUUUUGGAGAUCUGUCUUCUUAAAAGAGAAGCUGAGUUGGAGAUCUAUGUAUAUAUUUAAUCUCACAGUGUCUCCCAUGUAUAUAGUUAAGUCAUGGCCAUCGGUCCUGAUCCAGGAAGGGCUUCCAGGAAUUCUCCUGCCACGCACCUGCUGACUUACCCAGCUCAGACAGAGGUCCAGGGAUACGGGAUAUCACCAUGUGAACGGGUCCUCCAGCACCAGACCUCGGACGCAGGUGGGCAACGGAGGAGAAACCCGCUUUGACAUGAGGAGUCUCCCCGUGGGAAGCUUUCUAGCAUCAGGCAUGGAAAUUGAACUGUUCUCCAGUGUUUCACCGACCCUUAAAGCCAAGUAAAAACACAUUGAGAAAGUAGCCUUUGGUCUGAAUCGGACCGAAGAAACCUAAGAAGUAUGGCGAACUAGGAGGUAGCAGCUUCAUGGACGGCAGAGCUCCCCUAGGCUUCCUCCAGACCCUUGCGGUGGUGAGCCCUGGCUGAAACUGCCACCAUUCAUGGAUGGACACCAAGGAUCCCAUCUGGUAAAAGGACCACAGGCCAGAGUGACAUGGCCAGCAUGGGUUGGCCUGUAGGGAUAGACUUACCCCAGGAAUUCAGGGUUCUUUCCUGAAUUCCUUUUGAAACAGUGAUCCCAACAAACAGACCGUGUGGAGCAUGUUUGUUGUCCGAAGACUUCAAAGUUAAAAGUCGUAUGAUGUUGAUCACGAUAUGUAGUGAUUUAAAUAUUGAGCUUUGCUCAUGUUACUAACUCACUUUAGAUCGAUUAUACCUCAACUGCACUAAGUCUUUCUUGAGGUGCAAACUACGUC